GUGAAAGAGAACCUGAAACCGUGUGCCUACAAGUAGUCAGAGCACAUUAAAGUGUAAUGGCGUGCCUUUUGUAGAAUGAACCGGCGAGUUACGUUAUGGUGCAAGGUUAAGUCAGAAAAGACGGAGCCGGAGCGAAAGCGAGUCUGAAUAGGGCGAAAGAGUAUCAUGACGUAGACCCGAAACCAAGUGACCUACCCAUGACCAGGUUGAAGGCGUGGUAAAACACGCUGGAGGACCGAACCCACGUGAGUUAAAAAUCGCGGGGAUGAGUUGUGGGUAGCGGUGAAAUUCCAAACGAACUUGGAGAUAGCUGGUUCUCUCCGAAAUAGCUUUAGGGCUAGCCUCGUGUGAAUGAUAAUGGAGGUAGAGCGCUGUUUGGACUAGGGGCCCGUCAGGGGUUACUGAAUCCAGAUAAACUCCGAAUGCCAGAUAUCAAUGCACGGGAGUCAGACUGCGAGUGAUAAGAUCCGUAGUCGAAAGGGAAACAGCCCAGAUCACCAGUUAAGGUCCCCAAAUCUAUGCUAAGUGGAAAAGGAUGUGGAGUUGCGUAGACAACUAGGAUGUUGGCUUAGAAGCAGCCACCAUUUAAAGAGUGCGUAAUAGCUCACUAGUCGAGUGACGCUGCGCCGAAAAUGUACCGGGGCUAAGCAUAGUACCGAAACUGUGGAUGCAUAUAUUAUAUGCGUGGUAGGAGAGCGUUCUAAGUGCGGCGAAGUUAGAUCGAGAGGACUAAUGGAGCGCUUAGAAGUGAGAAUGCCGGUAUGAGUAGCGAAAGAUAGGUGAGAAUCCUAUCCGCCGAAAGACUAAGGUUUCCUGGGGCAGGCUCGUCCGCCCAGGGUAAGUCGGGACCUAAGGUAAGGCCGAGAGGCGUAGCCGAUGGACAACAGGUAGAAAUUCCUGUACUGAAAUUGUUCGAUAUGAGCAAAGGAGGGACGCAGGAGGCUAAUGACGCAUGUUGCUGGAAAUACAUGUGCAAGCAGUAAGAAAAAAGAUGAGUCAAAUGCUUGUCUUUAGAUUUCAAGCUGUGAUGCGGAGCGAAAUAAAAGUAGCGAAGGUCAUGAUGUCACACUGCCAAGAAAAGCUUCUAGCCAGAACAAUUUUACCCGUACCGCAAACCGACACAGGUAGUCGAGUGGAGAACACUCAGGUGAGCGAGAGAACUCUCGUUAAGGAACUCGGCAAAAUGACCCCGUAACUUCGGGAGAAGGGGUGCUGAUAGUAAAAUAUCAGCCGCAGUGAAUAGGCCCAAACAACUGUUUAUCAAAAACACAGGUAUCUGCAAAAUCGUAAGAUGACGUAUAGGUGCUGACACCUGCCCGGUGCUGGAAGGUUAAGAGGAGAGCUUAGCGCAAGCGAAGGUUUGAAUUGAAGCCCCAGUAAACGGCGGCCGUAACUAUAACGGUCCUAAGGUAGCGAAAUUCCUUGUCGGGUAAGUUCCGACCUGCACGAAAGGUGUAAUGAUUUGGGCACUGUCUCAACGAGAGACUCGGUGAAAUUAUAAUACCCGUGAAGAUGCGGGUUACCCGCGACAGGACGGAAAGACCCCAUGGAGCUUUACUGUAGCUUGAUAUUGAGUAUUUGUUAAACAUGUACAGGAUAGGUAGGAGCCAGAGAAAGUAGGACGCUAGUCUUACCGGAGGCAAUGUUGGGAUACUACCCUUGUUUGAUGGAUCCUCUAACUCACAGAGCUGAGCGUUCUGGAGGACAGUGUCAGGUGGGCAGUUUGACUGGGGCGGUCGCCUCCUAAAGUGUAACGGAGGCGCCCAAAGGUUCCCUCAGAAUGGUUGGAAAUCAUUCGCAGAGUGUAAAGGUAUAAGGGAGCUUGACUGCGAGAGCUACAACUCGAGCAGGGACGAAAGUCGGGCUUAGUGAUCUGGUGGUACUGCAUGGAAAGGCCAUCACUCAACGGAUAAAAGCUACCCUGGGGAUAACAGGCUUAUCUCCCCCAAGAGUUCACAUCGACGGGGAGGUUUGGCACCUCGAUGUCGGCUCGUCGCAUCCUGGGGCUGAAGUCGGUCCCAAGGGUUGGGCUGUUCGCCCAUUAAAGCGGCACGCGAGCUGGGUUCAGAACGUCGUGAGACAGUUCGGUCCCUAUCCGUCGUGGGCGUAGGAAAUUUGAGAGGAGCUGUCCUUAGUACGAGAGGACCGGGAUGGACAUACCGCUGGUGUACCAGUUGUCUUGCCAAAGGCAUCGCUGGGUAGCUAUGUAUGGAAGGGAUAAGCGCUGAAAGCAUCUAAGUGCGAAGCCCCCCUCAAGAUGAGAUUUCCGAUGCGAAAGCAGUAAGACACCUUAAAGACGAUGAGGUAGAUAGGCUAGGAGUGGAAGCAUAGCGAUAUGUGGAGCGGACUAGUACUAAUCAGUCGAGCACUUGACCAAA
rnacentral:rRNA from 1 species